UACGGCCAUACCAACUUGAGAAUGCCCAAUCUUGACCGAUCUUGGAAGCUAAGCAAAUUUGGGCCUGGUUAGUACUUGGAUGGGAAACCAAUAAUUUGCAGGUGCAUCUGUUU
rnacentral:rRNA from 1 species